CAGAGGCAGAUAUUCCCCCUGCCACCCAGCCAGCCCUGCGAAGUUGCACUUGUGGCCUUAAUCCCACUUGGAUGUGUGCCCUGCUGCCUCCACUCUCCGUCACUUGGGAAGAAUUAUGAUGGUGGUGCCCUGCUGUUGAUCAGUCAAAUCUGUGGUAGGCCUAGAGAUAAGUCCUGUAAGUGUGGUGUACUGUAAAACAGCGGCUCCCAUUCAUUAGUAGCUUGUGUGUAAUAAACCACCAAAAGGAGGGGGAUGGGGCGGGAGAGGGGAAGAGCAGCUGCAGUGUGCAGGAACAAACAACACAACUCAUUCUUGGGAGCCAAAACUUUCUAAUUUGCUGCUGGGCUGCUGGGAGCACUCAAAUUCUUUCUGAUAAUGCACUUGUGCCCUCGGUGUCUCUCCCCACAUUUCCCAAGUUCUUCUCUCCAGAGGUCCCACAGUCUGGGACAGCUACACUCCGAAACAAAACCGUAGACACUGUUGAACGGGGAGGAGGAGGGGAACACAGCAGCCUCCCAAUGUUUGCAGACUCCGGCGUAGCAAAGUGGUGGACCCGAGACAAGUCAUCCUGCCCGGGAAUGGCCGUUGCACGUAUCUGCUUGUGCAGUGGGUAAACAAAGCAUCACAUGGGCUGCAGAGCAAGCACGAGACGCGUCGCAAACCCAUACGUAUCUGAGGCAUGCAGGAGGGCUAGAGUGUUGUUAUCGAUAUAGAGCCUGGUGGAACAAUUAGGAACUUUUUUCUCCCAAAAGGCAGAAAGCAAAACAAAACAAAAC